rnacentral:rRNA from 1 species
CACUUUCACUUUCACUUUCGCAGCUGCGCCAAGGAAAAGAAAAGAUGUCUCGAUUCCCAUGUAUGCACUACUCGAUCAUAUCCCAAACCAAAACACUCUCUUGAUUUCUUCCUGAAACCACCACACACACACGUCCAUCAGCAGCUCGCAAGCUCAGCUGGUACGCAGGUACACCAUGCGGCGGCUUAGCGACGCAGGGGAGGCCACGCCACUGGUCACCCCCGCGGCGGCCGCGGCGGCGGGCGGCACCUUGGCGUCGCCGGCCGCUGCGGGGAGCAACGCCAACUUCGACGCCAACAUGGUGAUCAUCCUCGCAGCGCUGCUCUGCGUUCUCAUAUUCGCGCUCGGGCUCAACUCCGUCAUCCGCUGCGUGCUCCACUGCGGCCGCCGGCUCGCGCCGUCGUCGAGCCUCGCGGCCAGCGCCACCGCGGCGAGGACGACGACAUCCGUUCACGUGCAGGCGGGGCUCAAGAGGAAGGCGCUGAGGAAGAUACCCGUGGAGGUGUACGGCGGGGCCAAGUCGUCCGGUUGCGCCCUCCCGGCCACGGCCACGGAGUGCGCCAUCUGCCUCGGCGAGUUCGCCGACGGCGAGAAGGUGCGCGUGCUCCCUCGGUGCCACCACGGAUUCCACGUCCGCUGCAUCGACAUGUGGCUCGCCACGCACACUUCCUGCCCCAACUGCCGGGCCUCGCUCGCUGAGGACGGCGCCGCCGCUGCCAACGGCGGAGGGAGAUAGCGCCGGACAGGGUACGGGUUUGUAAUUUCUUCUAGAUAGGGAACUAAAGUGAAACGUUGCACCACUGCUUUGCUUCCUCACUAGUGUGUCUUUGGUCUGAUUUUGGUUUUCGUAUGGGUGGUACAUGUAAAUUAGUAUUUACAUUUUGCGAUGAUAGAAGGGGCUUGAUGCAAAUGUUCCCCGUGUCCUUGUCAUUUUGGGUUGGAGCAUACGAUUUUUUUUUUGUCAUGAUUCUCCCAUUUUAUAACUUUCUUUAAAGAUGAUUCGAUGUUCCAUUUUUUGUGUUCUAAGAUGAGUAGUAUUGCGCUGUUAUUUUGGUUACCCAACAGCCAAGACUUUCCCAAUGGACAUGUCUUUUUCUCAAAUAAUGUUCUCUAGUGAUAUUUUCCUAUUUACUAUCUGCACGUUGCUGAACAGAUAUUAGUAGCUUUACUCUUAUCUAUAAUAAUGAUUAUUUUUUGUUUUCUGACAAAAAGGAAAUAAUGAGUUUCUGUUCACUAAUAACAUAUAAUAGUGUGUUUUUCACAUAAUAAUAAUUUAUAUUGUCUUUGUUAACUUGUGUUCAAAGCAUGGUAUUUCUAGUGAACGAAAGAAAAUAAGCAAAGAAUAGUAGUAAAAUAUAAGUAUACCUUCUCUAGCUGUCAUCGCCAAUAAGAAUAUCUUUUCUGGCCGGUCACCACUGAUAGGCUUAGACUAACUCCAACAGAUCUAGUAGAAACAUUUCCGUAAAAGUGCUUUUAUGGAAUGACCACAUAAUUUGCCGGAAUUGUCAGAUAGUUAUUUUUCUCAGUUCCCAUAAAACUUCUUUCCCUAAAAUCUUGUUUUCCUUUUUUCCCCACUAAACAUCGUUGGGACUGCAAGCCGGUGACACAACGUUUGGAAGUGUGGCAACAGACGCCGGAGCAGGCUGACCGGUGAGGUGGUGCAGCUUGGGAGGCGCGUCGGCGGCCGUCUCGAUGAGGCGGGGAAGCGAAGGCCGGCAUGGUGGAGCGGAGCACCGGAGGCGGCCGUCCUAGCGGUGGCAUGGUGACACAGCGGAGAGGAGCGACGGAGGGGCAACAUGGCGGUGCAGGGCACACAUCCUAAACUUUCAUGCGGGUUUUUACCCGUCAAAUUAUACAGAAAGGGCUAUCUUUUCGUGGUUAAGGGAAGGUGGGAGUAUUUUUACGGGAUCCUUUAAAAUAUUUCUAGGUUUCUGGGAUCUAUUGGAGUUGCUCUUAGUGUGUUUGUCAGCCGUACAUCUGACUAUUCAUAAGGGUGAUGCCAACAGAUGAUCUAGUUUCAGCGAAAACAAUCACCACUCGCGGGUCAAAAAUUAAAUAUUGGCCUGUGGUGGCAUAGUUAUCAUGACUGUCGAACGGGAGCUAAUUGUUCUGUCUGUUAGUACUGUGAUGAAGGUACAAAUAUUCUACCAACAGUGGAAGAACAUCCGUGUAAACAAGCCCACAUUUUGCACCCAAGUAUAAAAACUCUU